CCGCCCGAGCACGGAAUAGAGUCAUCUUCCGAAGAUGGAAAAUGAAUGAUUGCAAACCCACUAAAAAGAGAUUUUCCUUGACUUACCUUUCCUUGACUUACCUUGACGGAAAUGAGCGUCAUUUCCGUCAUGAAAUGAUGCUCCCUCACCCCCGCGGACUGGAAGCUGCGAUGCUGGAGGGAGAGGCUCUGGGCUCCCGAGGAGAAGAGCCAUCACUGAUGGACAGACACACAGAUCCCCAUGCUCUUCUUGGAGGGCAGUCCUCUAAUUUCAGGAAGAAUCGAGAGACAGCGUGUUCUUUCUGACACCCAACACCUCACUGAUCGGGAAAAGGCCCGGGCAGGGAGUCCCAAUGACCAGACCCUGCAUGCUCUUCUGCCUUCAACGACCAUGUCGUGAUGAAUGUGAGACGUCUCUCAGCACCACUCAAGGCAUGGGCCCAGGGGGAAGACAACCAUGGCGGAGUCCUUCCAGUGAAUUUUCCUGGACUCAGUAGGUCUCUCAGCGUCUCCUGCUUGUGACGCUGACAGACUGACUAUAACCAGGUGCUCAAGAUGACAGGGAGACCAUAUUUUCUGAACAGUGACUGUCUUACCUUCCUGGGCAAAAGAAUUUCAUGGAACAAGCUGUGCCCACCUCACAAGGCUGUGGAGAGAAGCUGCAGAAUGGGGGUCCUAUGUCUGGCAUUCAGUGCUCCUGAAGGACAUGAGCCUUCAGAGCCCUGAACCACGUCAUGAAAUGUCCAGCUUCCCAGAGCUGCUGGAGAAGACACAUGUGGAGAGACACGGAGAGAUAAAGAAACAAUCUAGGGGCCUCUAGAAGUUCCAGACUCCAGCUGUCUGAGUUUCCCCAGUCUGACAUGUGAGGAGCAAGCAUUCAGAAUAUUCCAGCACCAGCCAUCGUGUUUCUACAACUGCAGGAGACAUCCUGUGUGAAAACCACCUGGCUGAGCCCAGUCAGCCUCCCAAACCAGGCAAACUAAUAACAAGAUGCUGUUAUUUUACACCACUAAGCUUUUGGGUGGUUUGUUAUGGGGCAAUAGAUAACCCAAACAUUCUUUGAUUGUGAAACUAGUCAAAGCAAUUCAAGAAAGGGUGAGAUCAGCUGCACGUAACAUUAGCUAAUACCUCUCUGGAGCCGAGGUGACCUGGGAACACCAAAGUCAGUGAAGGCAAAAAUCUCAGGAGGAAGAAACAGGUGUGAUGGUAAUCAAGAAAGCUCGUUUCCAUCGGGGGUAAUGCACCAGAGCUGAAGGAAGACUAAAAAACAGGGAUCGUGGAAUCUGUGGAAAGGAGAGCUGCCAACAAGAUUUUUCUUGACCCCCCUACCCCCCGGACUGUUCAAUAAACAAAGACAUUGGGUCUGGUGAAUUAUGACAACAGAAAUGGUUGACGAGGCUUUUACAAAUGCCCUGGAUUCUACGUCCUGUAGGACUAACUGCUCACCCUGUGCGGACCCCGCUGCCCACACAGGAAGCUGAUUUGUAUCAGGCUUCCCUCUAGAUCUCCCCAUAGGGAGAAACUCUGAUGACCAGACAAGGGGCAGUAAUGAUUCUCUGUUGGUGAGAGAUGUUGCCUUUAUACACCAAUGCUUUACGAGAUUAGUUAAUGUAAAUCAGUCUCCUAUAACUUUGUCAACUCUGAGUGAACUGAGAAAGAAUGAGUCCAUAGAUGGGAGGAUCUGACAGGCGGAAAGGGACCCGGUGACUCCCCCAAGACUUUUCUCUCUGGCCUCACUCAGAGUUGGCAUUAGACAGAACACUUGAAGUGUCCAGCUCAUAUCUGACCAACAAGACUGCUGUUUGUGAUGGUCACUGAUGUUGGGCAACAUGGCACCUAAGACCUUCUGCUUUAGUGACAUAAAAUAUUGGCAUGAUAGAAACAGCACAGAUUCUGGACUCUUAACUACACCAAAUCCUAAUCUCUGUUCUACAAUAAAUCAAACUGUCCCUUAUUUUAUUAGUUUUCCCCUGCCAUUGUCACUAAUAAUGACCACAGUACUAAUACUUGUAGUAACGACAACAAUAACUUAAGGGCUUACUUAGUGCCAGGCCCAUUGUUGAAGGAGUAUAAAAAAUAUUUUAAUCAACGU